AUAGUCACAAAGCAUGUAAUUACUGGCAGAUUUGUAAAAAUUGAUUGUAAAUUAAACAUCAUUCUUAUAAAUAUAUUCAGUAGAAUACAUGUAAAAGACAGAGGCCAGAGGCUAUCACCUAAUUUAAAAAUACAUGAAAAAGUACUUAUUUACUUGAUUGUUUGUUUUUGUAGGUUGGGCAGUGGCUCGCCAUGUUGUCCAGGCUGAUCUUGAACUCCGGGGCUCAAGCAAUCCUCCCACCUCAAGACUCCCAAAGCUCUGGGACUACAGUCACAAGACACCACAGCAGCUAAAAAGGAGAAAUAACUUUAUUUGGACUGAGAGCUGGAGAAUGAGAAUAGGACCUGAGACAGCAUAUUGGGCUAAGGAGGAGAGGUGAGGUUCCCAAACGGCAGUCAAAGCUCAUGGACCAACCGAAUUCUACUUCCCAGCAACCUUGCACCUAGUGCAACCAACAAAAGGCCUGCUGGGGAAUGUAUUUGCCACUAAAUUCCCCAAGUAUG